CUGGUCUUCUACAGAUAUUGAUUGAGCACUUACCACAAGCCAGGCACCGAGCUCUGCAAAUGAGAAAGCUCCUGGGGCAGGGACAGAGUUUGGAGCCAAACUGAGAAAAUUAUAGAUAUAAUCAGUGGACUGGAGAAGGAAACUCUUACUUCAAAGGACUGAACAUCCCAAGACAACUUGACAGGGACUCCUAGGGUCUGACUGUGUAUUUGCUGUGUGUUCUUCAGCCAGUAUAUCACCAGCACUGAGCCCUCAAUUCCCCACUGGUGAAAAAACAUGGAAAUCGCUACGCCUAGGGGAAUAUCUGUGAGCCUGGCUGAAGAUGCCCCUGGCUCACCAUUUGUAUUUCUACCAAGAGUUUUGGAGGGGCAGGUGUCUCAGGCUGACGCUGAGCUUGAGAGUUCGAGCUCUCUGAUGGGGAGAGGAACAAGCCCUGUCCUCCAGAGUCUGCCACUCUUCAGGGGAAAUAAGGCACCUGCCUGCAGGACCCAGUCUGAGCGGGAAGAUUGACCACCCAAGAGAAAUGACAUCGUGCAUCAGAGAAGGCCCCACACAGGUGCCCAGUGAUCUAUGAGGGCACAGAGCUGGAGGACAAAGCUAAUGUGGGUGGCAGGCAGGUAAUCUGG
rnacentral:lncRNA from 1 species